AUUACUUGGAUACUGUGGUAAUUCUAGAGCUAAUACAUGCAAAUAGAACUCCAACCGGAGACGGAAGGAGUGCUUUUAUUAGAUCAAAACCAAUCGGUGGCUAUGACAUAUUACUGUCACUGUCAUCGUACAACUUGGUGACUCUGAAUAACUUUAUGCUGAUCGCACGGUCCAAGCACCGGCGACGCAUCUUUCAAAUGUCUGCCUUAUCAACUGUCGAUGGUAGGUUCUGCGCCUACCAUGGUUGUAACGGGUAACGGGGAAUCAGGGUUCGAUUCCGGAGAGGGAGCCUGAGAAACGGCUACCACAUCCAAGGAAGGCAGCAGGCGCGCAAAUUACCCACUCCCGGCACGGGGAGGUAGUGACGAAAAAUAACGAUACGGGACUCAUCCGAGGCCCCGUAAUCGGAAUGAGUACACUCUAAACCCUUUAACGAGGAUCAAUUGGAGGGCAAGUCUGGUGCCAGCAGCCGCGGUAAUUCCAGCUCCAAUAGCGUAUAUUAAAGUUGUUGCGGUUAAAAAGCUCGUAGUCGAAUUUGUGUCCCGCGCCGCCGGUUCAUCGUCCGCGGUGUUAACUAGCGUGUCGCGGGACGUCCUGCCGGUGGGCUAGCUAGCUGUGCGCGCGCUCCCUUUUUAACCGAAGGUGUGUGUGUGUACAGUGCAGUGACGCCCAACUCAAUCCUGCCGCGGUGCUCUUAGCUGAGUGUCGAGGUGGGCCGGCACGUUUACUUUGAACAAAUUAGAGUGCUUAAAGCAGGCUAAAACUUUGCCUGAAUACUGUGUGCAUGGAAUAAUAGAAUAGGACCUCGGUUCUAUUUUGUUGGUUUUCGGAACCCCGAGGUAAUGAUUAAUAGGAACGGAUGGGGGCAUUCGUAUUGCGACGUUAGAGGUGAAAUUCUUGGAUCGUCGCAAGACGGACAGAAGCGAAAGCAUUUGCCAAAAACGUUUUCAUUGAUCAAGAACGAAAGUUAGAGGUUCGAAGGCGAUCAGAUACCGCCCUAGUUCUAACCAUAAACGAUGCCAGCUAGCGAUCCGUCGACGUUCCUCCGAUGACUCGACGGGCAGCUUACGGGAAACCAAAGCUUUUGGGUUCCGGGGGAAGUAUGGUUGCAAAGCUGAAACUUAAAGGAAUUGACGGAAGGGCACCACCAGGAGUGGAGCCUGCGGCUUAAUUUGACUCAACACGGGAAACCUCACCAGGCCCGGACACCGGAAGGAUUGACAGAUUGAGAGCUCUUUCUUGAUUCGGUGGGUGGUGGUGCAUGGCCGUUCUUAGUUGGUGGAGCGAUUUGUCUGGUUAAUUCCGAUAACGAACGAGACUCUAACCUGCUAACUAGGCGUAUUAAAUGACAUCUUAAAGGCCCAUCGAUUUAGGUGUGUGUGUAUGUGUGGGUGUGCGCGGCGUUUUUGCGACGUGUAUUUCUCAUUGCAUGCACCACCCUUUAUUGUAUGUGGUUUUUACUGUCAGCGUACAAACAAUUCUUCUUAGAGGGACAGGCGGCUUCUAGCCGCACGAGAAUGAGCAAUAACAGGUCUGUGAUGCCCUUAGAUGUUCUGGGCCGCACGCGCGCUACACUGAAGGAAUCAGCGUGUCCUCCCUGUCCGAACGGAUCGG
rnacentral:rRNA from 1 species